CCCAAAAAUACUAGUUGCUAAAGCUCACACAUGCCUUAAUUGCACCCACUGUCCUCGCUGAAUGCAGUUGAGAUUCUGUUCCUUUAUGCUUUUAAAACAAAGUACUGCUCAUCAAAGAACAAGAAAAACUGAUUCCUGAAAUAAAAUUUGAAGAUAAAGAACAUUCUGGAUUGCCUUAGGAAAUUAAGGGGAAGGAAGUAAUUCAAAAAUCUAUAGAUCUUGAUAGGUCAUAAAUCCUAAAGGAUUUCAGACAUAGGUCAAGAGAAAACCGAAGUCUGGAAGGGGAUAAUGAAGGAGACAAAUAAAUAAUAUAAAUGUAUUUAUUACCACUGAACGAUACACUUAAAAAUGGUCAAGAUGGUAAAUUAUAUAUGUAUAUUUUACCUUGUUUUUUUUUUUUUUUUUUUUUAAAAAAGAAAGCACAGAGACUAAGUUGCAGAGAGGAGGGAUGAAGAAAGAGAAGAAUCUUGACAACUCCUAGAAUCACGGCAUCUCAAAGUUGGAAGUUACAAGAGUCCAUCCAACCACCAAAAUACUUCAAGAGAGAGAUAUAUUUAAAAAACUGACACUGUAAAAGCAAACAGACAAGUGGGAUAGAAUACUGAAAAGUCAAGAAAAUGGAAAGCCUUUCUGAAAUUGAAUCACCUUCUAACAGCUAUUUCUAAUAAAAAAUGUAUUAGAAAGAAAGGGGAAAAAAAGGCUUGGAUCCCGAAAGACAGUUUGAAUCAUAACAGUGCGAGUGCGAGACAGAAGACAAUCACUUUCUACUCUCUGCUGGUCUCUAAAGGAAUUCCAGUUAGUUAUCCAAGAAUGGAAGAACACCGUGAGUCAGCCGUUCUCCUUUCCUCUUUAAAACAAAAACAAAAUUCAUCUUGGUCAUGUUAUCAGUUGUCUGUAUGUAGAGGGAAAAAAAAGGCCAUUUCCAGGUCAUUACCUAAAAUCAACUCUUCCAUUUAGUGGGGCCAUCUGGUAGCUGAUAUGAUUAAUUAUAAAAUUUCCAUCUCAUUCAAUUUAUUUUAGCUCUUUCUAUAAGUUACUUAACAUAGAAAUAAGAAAAUCAUAGCCAAACUAUAAAUUGAAGCUUGAUUGGUGUAAUUGGUAUGUAUCCCCCACCCUACAACAAAAAAAAUUCAAAGGGGACAGGGGAGAGAAAGGAAUGAUAGAUGAAGUUAAAGCAUCUGAAAUUCUAUUCUCUUUCUUGUUUAUACCACAGAGCAGCUCUCUUUAAAACAAAUCCUUCUGUAAUUUCAAAAGGCUUCAGCAAGUCUUCCAACUAGACUGGGUCAAUCAAAAUAAAAGGUUUAACACUCAUCUUGACUGUGUUUUUUUUUUUAAAUCAUGAAAUCAC
rnacentral:lncRNA from 1 species